UCCAUCCCGAAUCCUGAAACCACCACUAUAUAAACGAGCAAGAUCUGCACUGAGUUCAGCACAUAAGUUUCGGUGAAGGUCUUUUCUGUUCUGUUCUAGAGUUCCAUUGAUUCGAUCGCAAUGGCCAAGGUCUCGUUCUUUUGCUUCGUGUUUGUGUUGCUGGUGGUGGCGAGUAGCCUGAGCGGGACGGAUGCGGCGCACGGCUGUGUGGAGCACACGCUCACGUGCCUCAAGGGUGGAGACCGCCGCUGUGAUGACUACUGCAGGAAGUGCCACUAUGACAGCGGCAAGUGCCAGAAGUGCAACCAUGGUGUAUGCCACAUGAGGCAGUGCAAGUGCACUCAGCCCUGUGUUCCUUGCUAGAUUGGUUUGCUUCCUUCUUUCGGGAGUUCUCACUUCAACAUUUAGUUGGACAUUGAGCUCUCAAUCUCAAUAAAAAGCAUACUUGUAGUUUACUUCGAAACUUCCCUUUGUGUGUUGUGUGUUUUGUGAAUCAUCCCACCAUUGGCUCACAGAAAUGAAGGUGAAGAGCGGCAAAGGGAGUCACUCCUGUCUCCUGGAAGAAUGGUUACUUGAAGAACUUGUGUUGUGGAAUGUACUGUAUUCAUUUCUGAGGUGCCCAAUGUUGGAAGGCGCUGGAACUCUAUGGAAUGGAUGACUUAGCAGCUUAUCUUCUGUGUGCCUGGGUUUCAAAGCACUCUGUAUCUCCAGCCGGUGCCGGGCAGAGAAAGAAAAAGAGUCAUCUAGUGAACAAGCCUGCCUGUUUAUGAUUUUUAAUAAUUGGUGAGAGCCACUGGAGAGGCAUGUGUCACGAGUUACGGGUCCUCACAUGGUGCCAAAUAAAAUAGUAAUAAUACUUAGUCAAUCUACUACAGAUCUGGCCUAUCGGCACAGUUUCUUACCGCUUGUUGUUUCGAAAUAUUUUGGCGAGGAUUGGGGCUGGUGGUGAAGGUGUGAGCGACACCUGUUUGUUUGCGCGGAUAAAACUUGCAAUUUACCGCAGCUCCCCAGCCGCGAAGUUUCCUACAGGAGGCGGCCGUUGACGAGCACCGAGAAGCUUGCGCCGAUCAAACACGGGGAUGUUCGUGGUACACACGUGACCAUAUGUAAUAGCUUAGAUCAUUGAAGAAUGAGCAGCUUGCUUGCGCACUGGAUUGACGCUGCUUGGUGCUGUAAAUCCCAAUGAUAUGGCAAAGGCUAUGCAUUAGAAGGAUCUUUUUGCAGCCAACAAUGGAAGCUCCUGUUACAGCAGAGUCUUCUCACCAUACAUCCCAAGCAAAACCCUGGGUGGAGGAGACACAAUUGGCUCUUCACUGAAGGACCCAAAGUCCCUUCCCUUGAGAGAAGGUGUGGACAUCCUUUCCUGUGGGCUAGGUUAUUCCUAGCAGAGCCGAGGACUGGCUGAACCAGCCUCUAUUUUUCAAUGCCUUGUUCAGAGAGGGAGAGUACAAUCUGGGUAGGGGAAAUUGCUGCACGUUCUGGAGGAGGCUUUCGGACGGUGGAGCAACUGGUGGGAGUGGUGGAAAGAAAAGACAGAGUGUCGACUCAAUGUGUUUGAGCCGGGAUGUGUUGUGCCUCCUUUCCGUAGUUACUGUGGAGGAAAUGGCCUAUGUGAAGACUUCAGUAUGGGGACUUCAUCGGGACGAGGCACUGGAGGGACCAAGAAGGAAGCUAGGGGUGUGGUCCCGGUGAUUCACAGCCCCCGUGGGAAGGCACAGCGCUGGAGAUCUGGUUUAUAGUCUCAUUGAAAUGCAACACUGGACGAGUGGAGCGUGAUGCUGGUGGGGGAGGUAUGACGCCACAGGUGCAUGAUGACAAGGUCAAAGGACGUUUCCUAAAUGGAGAAUCAAAGAGAAUGCUAGAGUGUGAUGGGGGUGAUGAUGUGGUGGCAACAACAGUUAAUUGAGGACCUGGACUGAGAUCCAGCAGCUUGGAGACUACAGGUCUUAUGGCUCCCCUAUGCUUAGGCUUUUGGCCGACUCAGCUCGACAUCCAGAACUUCAGUGGGUCACAGCACCACGUGCCUGCGCUGGGUAUACAAAGCUUGGCUUGCGAUUGGAUGGUGGGUAGAGGAAGGGAUUGCACCAGCUCUCCUGGCAGAAGUGUGUUUCUUCCAACGUCUCGAUGAUCUUGCACAAUAGCAGCUUGCUGAGAGGAUUAUGUUGGGCAUCACAUUGAAGAACUGGCUGCUGGCGGCAGAGGAGGCAUUCACGGCUCACCUACUCCUCAAUGUGGCAGACCCACAUGGUCAUUAGGAUGGUAAGUUUUUUACUUUCUCUACUUGGUGAAUUCAUGGGUGCAGAGAUUGGGACACUGUGUGCUGGGUGCUGGCCAAACACUGAGUAGGUGGCAAUGCACAAUAAUCUAACCAAUGACAAGUUGUACCCAUGAGGUGAUUCUUGAUGCAAAAGUAUCCAGCAGCCACUGAGAGCUUGCACCUGGAAGAUGGCUUGGGUUACGGCAAAAUCCUCGCACAGAACCGCUCUCAAUUGCAGGGAGCAAAAACAGUCUCCUGAAACACUGUCCAAAGAAGUCUGCGAUGAGAGAAAAUGAUAGAGGAUGGAAAACUGGACAAGUUUCACUAUGAUUUUCUGGAAAUUCUGUUUAACAAAUUUUUAGUUAAAUCUACAGAAAUAAAUAUACACUUACUUU